AGUGAGAUGUGUGUUUAAAGACCCCAGAACAACUGCCAAGACACUAGUGAAUGACUUAGCCAAGUCGGCAAGUGUAGUGUCAAAGAAGACAAUCACUACAG